rnacentral:rRNA from 1 species
UGGGGAAUCUUCCGCAAUGGACGAAAGUCUGACGGAGCAACGCCGCGUGAGUGAAGAAGGUUUUCGGAUCGUAAAACUCUGUCUUUUGGGGCGAACGUGAGUAUGGUGAACAAUCAUAGUCAGUGACGGUACCAAAGGAGGAAGCCACGGCUAACUACGUGCCAGCAGCCGCGGUAAUACGUAGGUGGCAAGCGUUGUCCGGAAUUAUUGGGCGUAAAGAGCGCGUAGGCGGGAUAGUCAGUCUGUUGUAAAGUGCGGGGCUCAACCCCGUGAUCGCAAUGGAAACAGCUAUUCUUGAGUGCAGGAGAGGAAAGUGGAAUUCCCAGUGUAGCGGUGAAAUGCGUAGAUAUUGGGAGGAACACCAGUGGCGAAGGCGACUUUCUGGACUGUGUCUGACGCUGAGGCGCGAAAGCCAGGGGAGCGAACGGGAUUAGAUACCCCGGUAGUCCUGGCCGUAAACGAUGGGUACUAGGUGUGGGAGGUAUCGACCCCCUUUCCGUGCCGGAGUUAACGCAAUAAGUACCCCGCCUGGGGAGUACGGUCGCAAGACUGAAACUUAAAUGAAUUGACGGGGUCAUAGCUGUUUCCUG